rnacentral:rRNA from 1 species
ACUCCUACGGGAGGCAGCAGUGGGAAUAUUGCACAAUGGGAAGCCAUCGAUGCAGCCAUGCCGCGCUGUGUGAAGAAGGCCUUCGGGUUGUAAAGACACUUUCAGUAGGGAGGAAGGUAGUGUAGUUAACACCUGCAUUAUUUGACGUUACCUACAGAAGAAGCACCGGCUAACUCCGUGCCAGCAGCCGCGGUAAUACGGAGGGUGCGAGCGUUAAUCGGAAUUACUGGGCGUAAAGCGCAUGCAGGCGGCCUGUUAAGUCAGAUGUGAAAGCCCGGGGCUUAACCUCGGAAUUGCAUUUGAAACUGGCAGGCUAGAGUCUUGUAGAGGGGGUGAGAAUUGAUCAGGUGUAGCGGUG